AGAAUCAACGCUGGCGGCGUGCCUAACACAUGCAAGUCGAACGCGAAAGUCCCGAAAGGGAUAAGUAGAGUGGCAAACGGGUGAGUAACACGUGGGUGACCUGCCUUCAAGUGGGGGAUAACGUCCCGAAAGGGACGCUAAUACCGCAUAACAUGCUGUCUUUUAACAGGCGGACAUCAAAGCUGGGGAUCGCAAGACCUAGCGCUAGAAGAGGGGCCCGCGCCUGAUUAGCUAGUUGGUGGGGUAAUGGCUCACCAAGGCGACGAUCAGUA
rnacentral:rRNA from 1 species